rnacentral:rRNA from 1 species
UGCAAGUCGAACGGCAGCACGGAGCUUGCUCUGGUGGCGAGUGGCGAACGGGUGAGUAAUAUAUCGGAACGUACCCUAGAGUGGGGGAUAACGUAGCGAAAGUUACGCUAAUACCGCAUACGAUCUAAGGAUGAAAGUGGGGGAUCGCAAGACCUCAUGCUCGUGGAGCGGCCGAUAUCUGAUUAGCUAGUUGGUAGGGUAAAAGCCUACCAAGGCAUCGAUCAGUAGCUGGUCUGAGAGGACGACCAGCCACACUGGAACUGAGACACGGUCCAGACUCCUACGGGAGGCAGCAGUGGGGAAUUUUGGACAAUGGGCGAAAGCCUGAUCCAGCAAUGCCGCGUGAGUGAAGAAGGCCUUCGGGUUGUAAAGCUCUUUUGUCAGGGAAGAAACGGUGAGAGCUAAUAUCUUUUGCUAAUGACGGUACCUGAAGAAUAAGCACCGGCUAACUACGUGCCAGCAGCCGCGGUAAUACGUAGGGUGCAAGCGUUAAUCGGAAUUACUGGGCGUAAAGCGUGCGCAGGCGGUUUUGUAAGUCUGAUGUGAAAUCCCCGGGCUCAACCUGGGAAUUGCAUUGGAGACUGCAAGGCUAGAAUCUGGCAGAGGGGGGUAGAAUUCCACGUGUAGCAGUGAAAUGCGUAGAUAUGUGGAGGAACACCGAUGGCGAAGGCAGCCCCCUGGGUCAAGAUUGACGCUCAUGCACGAAAGCGUGGGGAGCAAACAGGAUUAGAUACCCUGGUAGUCCACGCCCUAAACGAUGUCUACUAGUUGUCGGGUCUUAAUUGACUUGGUAACGCAGCUAACGCGUGAAGUAGACCGCCUGGGGAGUACGGUCGCAAGAUUAAAACUCAAAGGAAUUGACGGGGACCCGCACAAGCGGUGGAUGAUGUGGAUUAAUUCGAUGCAACGCGAAAAACCUUACCUACCCUUGACAUGGCUGGAAUCCUUGAGAGAUCAGGGAGUGCUCGAAAGAGAACCAGUACACAGGUGCUGCAUGGCUGCCUCAGCUCGUG